AAAGAAGGAUGGAAGAAAAGAAAUAUGUGAAAUGUUCAUGUUUGUGCCGAAGCUUCCAAAGAAGAUAGAAGAGAAUUGAAGACUAGCCAGUGCUGGGAAACUUAACAAACUGGUGAAUCAGGGUUUUGCAGCUCUUUGCAUUUUGGAAGAAAAAGAAGGCUAAUGGCUAGCAUUCUGGAAUGAUAGAACUCUAGCCAAGGAGCUAAAUUCAGGGCCUGCUGUAAAGAUAACUUGAAGAAUGGAAAUGUCUGUGGUUCAAUUACCAUU